rnacentral:lncRNA from 1 species
UGUAAACAUGUUUGUUCUGUUCUCAGCCUGCCUGCCUUCACGGUUGCUGCAGUUUGGGGCAUCACAUUCAUACAUAACAAUGUGAAAGAACAGGGGCAUCUCUUCCACCAUUUCUUUUAAAGAAUGAAGAAACCUUUUCCCAGAAGCCCUUCAAGAAUGCUCAAGACUCACUGGCCAGAACUGUUCAUCCUGAGCCAAUCUAUGGUCACUGAAAAUGGCGUUACCUGGUUGGCUUGCAGUGGUGUUUACCGCACCAGAGAGGAGGUCACCCUCCAGGAAAGUUAGAUACCUAAAAAAAUUCAUUAGAUGUUAACAAGGAAGAAAUAGAGAAUGUGUGUUAAUAGUAUUCUAUCAUCUGUUACAACAUCAACAAAUCCUCCCUGGCACCCUAAAAAUAUCUAGCACCAGGUUCCAUGUGACUGUUGCAGCCUGUUAUUAUGAGCAAUGGAGGGCUAUAGCUUUAACUAUACUUUCGGACACUUGCCUUUGUCAAUGAGGGCAAAGGCCAAGCAAUGUUAACCCAAAAGUCUGUGACGACAAGGAAAGGCUCUAGCAUGUUUGAAGAAGCUGUGACUUCUCUGUUCUGGGUGGCCUUGGAUUUGGUCAUCUUCAAGUUCAGACAGCCUUGUACAUCCUGCAUAUGGAUGAAGACCCAAAAAGGUUUUUGGAGAUCUGUUUGGAUGGGAUGGAGAAAGCUGUUGCUCUAAUGUUUGAAGCAGACGUCCUCGCCAUGUACAGGCGUGUGCUGUGCACAGACGGGAGCUUGUACAAGCAAGUGACAUUUACCAGCAGGAGCUUGUCUGGACAGCUAUUCACACAAUGUUAUGGACUAAAUGUUUGUGUCUUCCCGGGAAAUUCGUAUGUUGGAGCCCUCGCUUCCACUGGAAUGGUAUUAGGAGGUGGAGCCUUGGAAGGUAAUUAGAUUUAGAUCAGCUCAUGAGGACUGUGCCCCCAUGAUGGGGUUAGUGCCCUUAUAUGAAGAAAAGACAACACUGUCUUCUCUUUCCUCAUGCACAUGAAGAGCAGGCCCUGUGAGCACAUAGUGAGAUGACAGGACGCCUGCAAACCAAGAGCAGUGGGCACCUUGAUCUUGGACUUGCAGCCUCCAGGACCGAGAGAAAUAAACUGCUAUUGUUUAAGCCACCCAGUGUGUGGUAUUUUGUUACGGCAGCUAGAGCUAAGAUACAGAAGCGGAAAGUUUAGUCAUGUAAGUCUCUUCCCCUGAUUUUAAGUCCAGAUUCUGAGACUCAGACUUUCUGAGCCGUCCCUGGAAAAUCUGGUAUAAAAACUGUUCAGGCACUAAAAAAUAUGAAAACUGCCUCUGAAGAUAUUGCUAAAGCUCUCCUCUCCCCUAAAUUACCUCUGUGAGUUUACCCUCCUGGAAGAACUUCCUGAAAACUAGUGGCUAAGUGCUCAAAUGGGAAGGGGGAUGGCUGAGGGGUAAAAAACAGUUGCUAAUUGCAUCUGUUGUUCAUAGUUCUAUAUGUCUUUUACCUACCCACACUGAUACGCGAUAUGUAAUAAAGAAGCUCC